rnacentral:rRNA from 1 species
GACGAACGCUGGCGGCGUGCUUAACACAUGCAAGUGGAGCGACGAACCAGGGCUUGCCCUGGGGCAAAGCCGCGAACGGGUGAGUAACACGUGGGUAACCUGCCCUGUUGACUGGGACAACCCGAGGAAACUCGGGCUAAUACCAGAUGUGCUCCCGCCACAUCAGUGGCGUGAGGAAAGGAAGCUUCGGCCUCCGCAACGGGAUGGGCCCGCGGCCCAUUAGCUUGUUGGUGGGGUAACGGCCCACCAAGGCUGCGAUGGGUAGCUGGUCUGAGAGGACGAUCAGCCACACUGGGACUGAGACACGGCCCAGACUCCUACGGGAGGCAGCAGUGGGGAAUCUUGCGCAAUGCGCGAAAGCGUGACGCAGCAACGCCGCGUGAGGGAAGACGGCCUUCGGGUUGUAAACCUCUUUCAGUUGGGACGAAGCCUUGCCGGUUAAUAGCCGGCGGAGGUGACGGUACCUUCAGAAGAAGCCCCGGCUAACUACGUGCCAGCAGCCGCGGUAAUACGUAGGGGGCAAGCGUUGUCCGGAAUCAUUGGGCGUAAAGCGCGUGUAGGCGGCUUGGUAAGUCCGCUCUGAAAGCCCGGGGCUCAACCCCGGGAGGCGGGUGGAUACUGUCAAGCUCGAGUCCGAAAGAGGCGAGUGGAAUUCCCGGUGUAGCGGUGAAAUGCGCAGAUAUCGGGAGGAACACCAAUGGCGAAGGCAGCUCGCUGGGACGUGACUGACGCUGAGACGCGAAAGCGUGGGGAGCAAACAGGAUUAGAUACCCUGGUAGUCCACGCCGUAAACGAUGGGCACUAGGUGUGGGAGGUGUCGACUCCUCCCGUGCCGAAGCUAACGCAUUAAGUGCCCCGCCUGGGGAGUACGGCCGCAAGGCUA